rnacentral:rRNA from 1 species
UACGAAGGGAGCUAGCGUUGUUCGGAAUUACUGGGCGUAAAGGGCGCGUAGGCGGACAUCUAAGUCAGGGGUGAAAUCCCAGGGCUCAACCCUGGAAUUGCCUUUGAUACUGAAGAUCUUGAGUUCGGGAGAGGUGAGUGGAACUGCGAGUGUAGAGGUGAAAUUCGUAGAUAUUCGCAAGAACACCAGUGGCGAAGGCGGCUC